rnacentral:misc_RNA from 1 species
GAUGAAGAACGCAGCGAAAUGCGAUAAGUAAUGUGAAUUGCAGAAUUCAGUGAAUCAUCGAAUCUUUGAACGCACCUUGCGCCCUUUGGCCAUUCCGAAGGGCAUGCCUGUUUGAGUAUCGUGAACACCUCAACUCUUCAUGGUUUUCCGUGAUGAGCUUGGACUUUGGGGGUCUUGCUGGCCUAUGGUCAGCUCCUCUAAAAUAAAUCAGCUUGCCAGUGUUUGGUGGGUAUCACAGGUGUGAUAACUAUCUACGCUUGUGGUUUUCCACCAGGUAACCUUCAGCAGUGGAGGUUCGCUGGAGCUCACAGAUGUGUCUCUCCUCAGUGAGGACAGCUCUUUGAAUGUUUGAUCUCAAAUCAGGUAGGACUACCCGCUGAACUUAAGCAUAUCAAUAAGCGGAGGA